rnacentral:lncRNA from 1 species
AUGUAUCUUUCUCUCUCUCUUUACUCAGCAUCUUCAUCUUCUCCAAUCCUCUUAACAUUUCAACCCUAAAUCACCAUACCUCCACGAUCAACCAACACAAAAGUGGGCAAAGUCACAAGCUUUGCCUUAAAAGAAAUCCCAAAUACAUCAAAUUUCCGACAUCCUUUUCGAUUCUCUUUAGGAUACGACACCGUACCGGCCAUACUACCACCGUACUGCGGAAUCCCGAUGUUCCCGAUCGCACUAUCGUGAUUCCCCUUUAUGCUAUCAGGUGAUGAUACAAUUAAGUUGUUCUUUUCCACUACAAAUCGACCCAUUACUGAUUGAUAGUACAAACAAGUCAAGAACAGAAACCCUAGAAGUGAUUUAGCCAUGAUAAUCGAUUGUUUUGAUGAGGAAAAUGGUGUUGUAUAAAUAACGUACUCGAUCAAUUGUAGAUCAGCUUUCGUUGAAUCCUUCACUUCUCUCCAUCCUUUUGGGAUGAACAAAAACGCUUCUCCGCCGUCACGGCGGAGCUCGUCGCCGGUGAGAAAUUAACAAUCGUAACAAUAAUCUGUUGAGAUUCCGGUGACGGUUUUGCCCUAAUUUGGCUACUGUAUGUGUGUGUGUAUGUUUUGUAGGUGUGAAAUCUGAUGUAUGGUGUGUUUGUAGGUGUAACAAUCAAU